AAUUUGAAGAUAUCAGCGCAAGCACCCACAGCAUCUGGGUUAACCCAUUCUUCACAUAGAAAGGAUAACUCAGAAUUGAACCAAGAAAAUUUUGGGAUGAUGUCAGAAAAUACGAGUACAACACCAUCAAAUAACGCAUUUUCAACUAGAAUGCAACCUGGACCCACAAAUUCAGGUUCUCAAACUGGCAGUUAAAGUGAUCUCCAAUCAAAUUUGAAGAUAUCAGCGCAAGCACCCACAGCAUCUGGGUUAACCCAUUCUUCACAUAGGUAAGUAAAUAAUAUAAUCAACAUAUUAACUGUAAUGUUAGGUGCCAUGUCAUCAUGGCUCACCACACUGAAUUUAUCAGUAUGGUUC